rnacentral:rRNA from 1 species
GAUGAACGCUGGCGGCGUGCUUAACACAUGCAAGUCGAACGGAAAGGCCCCCUGCUUGCAGGGGGUACUCGAGUGGCGAACGGGUGAGUAACACGUGGGUGAUCUGCCCUGCACUUCGGGAUAAGCCUGGGAAACUGGGUCUAAUACCGGAUAGGACCAUGCUUCAGUGUGUGGUGGAAAGUUUUUUCGGUGUGGGAUGAGCCUGCGGCCUAUCAGCUUGUUGGUGGGGUAAUGGCCUACCAAGGCGUCGACGGGUAUCCGGCCUGAGAGGGUGUACGGACACAUUGGGACUGAGAUACGGCCCAG